rnacentral:rRNA from 1 species
CUACGGGGGGCAGCAGUCGAGAAUCAUUCGCAAUGGGCGCAAGCCUGACGAUGCGACGCCGUGUGAACGAAGAAGGCCCUCGGGUUGUAAAGUUCUUUCGCUAGGGAACAAGAGAAGUUUAUAAAUAAUAGACUGAUUUGAUGGUACCUGGUAAAGAAGCACCGGCUAACUCCGUGCCAGCAGCUGCGGUAAUACGGAGGGUGCAAGCAUUAAUCGGAUUUAUUGGGCGUAAAGGGCGCGUAGGCGGCUGGAAAAGUCAGAUGUGAAAUACUGGAGCUUAACUCCAGAACGGCAUCUGAAACUUUCUAGCUAGAGGAUAGACGGAGAAAACGGAAUUCCACGUGUAGCGGUGAAAUGCGUAGAUAUGUGGAAGAACACCGGUGGCGAAGGCGGUUUUCUAGUUUAGACCUGACGUUGAGGCGCGAAAGCAAGGGGAGCAAACAGGAUUAGAUACCCUUGUAGUC